rnacentral:rRNA from 1 species
AGAGUUUGAUCCUGGCUCAGAACGAACGCUGGCGGCAGGCUUAACACAUGCAAGUCGAACGCCCCGCAAGGGGAGUGGCAGACGGGUGAGUAACGCGUGGGAAUCUACCCAGUUCUACGGAACAACACAGGGAAACUUGUGCUAAUACCGUAUACGCCCUACGGGGGAAAGAUUUAUCGGAAUUGGAUGAGCCCGCGUCGGAUUAGCUAGUUGGUGAGGUAACGGCUCACCAAGGCGACGAUCCGUAGCUGGUCUGAGAGGAUGACCAGCCUCACUGGGACUGAGACACGGCCCAGACUCCUACGGGAGGCAGCAGUGGGGAAUAUUGGACAAUGGGCGCAAGCCUGAUCCAGCCAUGCCGCGUGGAUGAUGAAGGCCCUAGGGUUGUAAAGUCCUUUUAACGGGGAAGAUAAUGACGUACCCGAG